AACGCAAGUUGCGGUCUUUUUACGAAGACCAUGUUUGCCUGAGGGUUGUUAACAUCAAAAUUGAGGUUGUGUGCUUCGAUCAAAAGAAGCACUCCCUUGAAAUCUAGUUUGGGGCUUAGUUCUAUUCAUUUAGAGCUUUGAUUCAAUCUUCUUUAUUUGAAUCCAUACGUAAAGCGAAAUUCUAUUUUGCUUUGCAACCUCGAACCAAUAUUUUUUUCAAUUAAAAAAAUAAGGGUUUAAUAGUGAGAUCUUCGGAUCUUGCUUCCUUAAACUAAACACUUAUCGUUUUUAACUUGUGAAGAAGUUGGGUUGAAGGAAUGGUAUUCAGGUAUUAAUGAAGAGAAUCUUAAAUGAUUUUUUUUUCAUUAAUAUUCAAUAAAUCAAAUCGCAACCUCAGAUCAAGCAAGACUACCCGCUGAACUUAA
rnacentral:misc_RNA from 1 species